rnacentral:rRNA from 1 species
AUACGUAGGGUGCGAGCGUUGUCCGGAAUUACUGGGCGUAAAGAGCUCGUAGGUGGUUUGUCGCGUCGUCUGUGAAAUUCCGGGGCUUAACUCCGGGCGUGCAGGCGAUACGGGCAUAACUUGAGUACUGUAGGGGAGACUGGAAUUCCUGGUGUAGCGGUGAAAUGCGCAGAUAUCAGGAGGAACAGCGGUGCGAAGGCGGGUCUCUGGGCAGUAACUGACGCUGAGGAGCGAAAGCAUGGGUAGCGAACAGGAUUAGAUACCCUGGUAGUCCAUGCCGUAAACGGUGGGCGCUAGGUGUAGGGGUCUUCCACGACUUCUGUGCCGUAGCUAACGCAUUAAGCGCCCCGCCUGGGGAGUACGGCCGCAAGGCUAAAACUCAAAGGAAUUGACGGGG